CUGACCUUGCAGUGAGUGGACAGUCAGCAAAAAAGAGGCAGAUCUUCAUUCCUUACAGAAACUCUGUGCUGACAUGGCUACUGAAAGACAGUCUUGGUGGAAACACCAGAACUACAAUUAUAGCAACCAUUUCUCCUGCUGAUGUGAACUACGAGGAGACCCUAACCACUCUGCGCUUUGCCAGCCGGGCUAAAAACAUAAUAAACACCCCAACAGUGAAUGAAGACAGCAGCACCAAAGUGGUCAGAGAGCUGCAGGCUGAGGUCACCAGGCUUCGAACACUUCUAGCUGAAGCCGCUCAGGUUAUUGAUGUGGAUUGGGCUACUUCUGUAAAGCAAAGGGAGAAGUUGCAAUACAAUGAAGAAAAGG